AGGAGCCAAGAGCAGCUACCACAAGUGAUGUCCCAGCUUCAGGCCCUGGGCCCUGUUGGCUGCUCCUGACCUUUGGAAUGGGCUUUGUCUCAGGGUCUGGGUGCCCCACUUCCUGCAAAUGCCAGAAACAGGAGGCCAUUUGCUUGUGGGCUGGACUAAGUGAGUACCCCCGUAACCUGUCCAUGAGCACCCACAGGGUGACCCUGGCCCACAACUCGCUGACAUUUCUGCCAGUGCUGGACCUGGGGCUGCUCAGUGACCUGGUCUCCAUGGACUGCUCACAGAAGUGCUCCGUGAGGUACUGGACAACACCUUUGUAGGGGUCUCCUGCCUGCUGUACCUGGAUCUCAGCUGCAAUGUACUAGCAGCUGUGGCACAUGGGGCCUUCUCCCCACUGGCUGUCAUGCUGCAACUCAACCUAUCACACAACCCACAGGUGAGGGCACUUCACCAAUGCCAGUGCCCUACGACUGUUUGACCUGCGCCACAGGGGCCUACACUGCCUGGACCAAGCUGCUCUUAGUGGCCUCCCAGCCCUGCACACCCUUAACCUUCGCGGGAACCCAUGGAGGUGCAACUGCUCCCUGCUGGACUUUACCAUCUACUUGCUGCGGGCACACCUCAGCCACCCAGCUACCAGGUUCCAGAUGCUAAAGUGAUGCCAACUGGACUUCCCUGGGCAGAUGACCCCACCAAUGUGUUCAGGAGCCCCGCUUCCCCAGAAGCCCACCACACUAGGGAAAGAGAGAGGCAGGCUGGAAGUGUGGAUCAACCUGCCAUCAUCCAUGUUCAAAGGGGAGGUAAUUACAGAAGCCAGACCUUCCACAUUCUGCACGCCAUAAUGACCCUGGGUUCAUACGCCCAGAGGUAUAAAGAACAGGAAAGCUAUCAGGGGAGGAGAUGGGAUACAGAGUUCUGGUGAUGGGAAUUGUGUGGACUUAUACCUCUCUUAUCCUAUGGUUUUUGUCAGUGUUUCCUUUUUAUAAAUAAAUAUUAAGAAAUAAAAUAAACUAUAAAAUUUAAAAGUUCACAGUAAAAAUUCAGAAUUUCAGUAACAUUAAAUGCCAUCUUUUGCCAUCAUUCUUUUUUUUUUUUUUUCCCUCCAAGGUUAUUGCUGGGACUCUGUGCCUGUACCAGGAAUCCACUGACCUGGACACCACCCUCUCCCUUUUUGUUGCCCUUGGUUUUUUUCUUUUUAAUUAUCAUUAUUACUGUUGCUGUCAUUGUCCUUGGAUAAUACAGAGAGAAAUGGAGAGAGAAGAGCAAACAGAGAGGGGUAGAGAAAGAUAAGAUACCUGCAGACCUGCUUCACUGCCCGUGAAGAAUUGACUCCCCUACAGGUGUGGAGCCAGGGUCUCAACCCAGAUUCCUUACGCCUGUGCUUGCACUUCGCACCAUGCAUGCUAACCCCGCUGUGCUACUACUGCCUGACCACCUUUUGCCAUCAUUCUAAAAUGAUUAGGAUGGGUGCAGUGACUUAACAAACCUGCUACCUUCAUUGGAGACAGGGUGGGGUCUGGCUCUGGGUGGGGUCACCUCUGCAGGAGAAAUUAUCUCCUUUAUAGGCAAAAUACUUAAUAGUUUGUGCCUUUUAAUUUUAUACUUGCUUUUAACUGCAUUCCUUCACCUACCAGUUAUUACGAAGUCUUGUAUCUGGAAUGAUUUUCUAUAAGGGAAUAUUAUCUGUGCCUUACAAAUAAAUUAAUAUACUUUUAUUCAGCCUUGUAUAUAAAGUACAUUCCUUAACCUCAAGGAGCUUUAACUAUUGAUGGUAUGCAGCUCAGAAUAGCUGAUAAAGUCACAAAAAGUCUUAAGUUUGAGUCUACUAGGCAUGAAAUUCUUAGGCCUGUUCACUUGUCAUCAUACUCCCCACCUGAUAAUUUAAUACCAACAGACUCACCAUAAAAGGUAUAAUGGCAACAGCUAAUAGAAUCUGCGCACAAACUUGUGGGUGGGACUAAUGAAAACAUCUUUUAAUCCCUUUAUUUAUUCUUCACAAUAAGCUUUCUACAUUACAUAGUAAAUAUGACUGCUAGUUCACUGGCACCAAAACUGAAUCACAGAGAAACUGAGUUUCACAGAAAGCUGCAAAAUCUUUUGUAUGUAAUCCCAAAGCUGUUUCUUUGAACAGCUCAGCAUAUUCUUUUUUGUUAUUUUUUAUUUUCCCUUUUGUUGCCCUGUUUUUUAUUGUUGUUGUAGUUAUUAUUAUUACUGAUGUCAUCAUUGUUGUAUAGGAUAUACAGAAAUGGAGAGAGGAGGGUAUGACAGAGAGGGUGAGAGAAAGACCUGCAGACCUGCAGACCUGCUUCACCACAUGUGAAGAGGCUCCCCUGCAGAAAGAAAUGAUGUCUUAACAAUAAUGGGAAAAACUGCUAUAGACAAGAUCCCUUGUUUCAUGCCACUGAAUAAUGUUGGAGACUAAAAAUACAAUGAUAUAACAGCAAAUAAAUCUUUUCUGACCUGCAGUUUGUCAUAUGUUCAUCAAAUCAAAUG